AAUCAAAAAGACAAUUAAAAGGCAAAGACGUCUCUUAUUUGGGCUUAAGAAGAUACGUAUUUUCUUAACACGUGUAGGCAAAAUGAGAGGAGAGAGGGGGAGCGUGUAUUUGUUUUGUCAUUUCUCUCUCUGUCGAAACUGAAUCAGCUAGAAAUCGUAUCGGAGGUCGGAGAAGACGAUUCUCGUACUCUCUCCGUCGAUCGUCGACAUACCGGCGAUACUACCUCUCUCCACACCUCCUAACGGAAUCCUCUGUCUCUGUGGCUCGUCCGAGAAGGCGAAUCUCCCUCUCUCGCCGUGAUUCUAUUGGAAUCAGAAGGUUCAAUUCUGCCUCGCGGUGGCUCUCCUCGACCGCUGACGGAGCUCUAUGUCUCUCGGUUGCUCUCCGCGACGGCUGAUGGAGCUCUCUGUGUGGCGGUGGCUCUCCUCGACGGCUGACGGAGCUCUCUGUCGAUGGCUCUCUGCAAAUCGCUCAGGUAAAGCUUAUGUUUCAUGUUCUUCAAUCAUACAUUUCGUAGUUUAAAAUAUUUUCUUUCAAUCUCGUUUUGUUUGUUGCUUUUGAUUUAGCUUCUUUGUGGUGAAUAAUUUUUUUUUUGUUUCUGUCUUUUGUCAAUGUCUUGUGCGUGCUGAGAUGACGGGAUCAAAUCGCGUUUGAGAUGGCUGUAUCAAGUGUGCUUAAGCAAGGGUCAUUUUACAGAGGAAUACGCAGCAUCACAGG